UCAUAAUAUAGGGGCCGCCUCAGUAUCACAUGUAGACCACACAUUCUAAGUUUCAUGUAAAUCGGAUGAUGUUUGUCAUAUAAAGCAUAUUUCUUGUUGCCAGAUGGUGGCGCUAUCUCCAAAAGUCUAUAUUGGCCUGUACAUGUCCUCAGGCCUGGACUCUUGGUGUUUGUGGGAAAUUUCAAGCAGAUACGACAACGUAAACUGUUGUUACAGCCAAUUUCAUCUUCAUCGCUCAACACCCAAAAUGGCCGCCAUGCCACGCCCACACCGUAUGACGAAAAGUUUUUCUUUUAAUAACUUUUCAUCGGUCACAUCUUAGGAUGAUACACACUGAGUUUGAAGAUGAUCGGAUGAAAUCUCUAGGAGGAGUUCGUUAAAGUAUAGCACCUUGUCUUUUAGGCCUACUUCCUGUUGCCACUAGGGGGCGCUAUGACUUUGAGCCAAUAGCGGCGUGUAGAUGUCGUCAGGGGCGGACUCUGAUGAGUCGUGGAAAGUUUUGAGCUAAUCGGACAACGUACGCUCAAGUUACACCCACUUCCUGUUUGGUGGCGAAACGCACAAAAUGGCCGCCCCGCCACGGCCACGCCCUAUGACGGAAAGUUUUUCUUUUAAUAACUUUUCAUCGUUAACAUGUUAAGAUGACACACACCAAGUUUGAAGAUGAUCAGACGAAAGCUCUAGGAGGAGUUCGUUAAAGUACGACAUGUGGAAAUGGCCAAAAUCGCACUAAUUUUGCACAUUCAAAACAAAAUGGCGGACUUCCUGUUGGGUUUAGGGGGGGGCUACAAUGGAGUUUUAUGUCCGACCUGCCAUGAUACAUAUGUGUACCAAGUUUCGUGACUCUACGUUAAUCUAGCUGCAGGGGCUCAAUUUUCUUAAUUUUGUAGGUGGCGCUAGCGAGCCAUUUUUGUGCGCCCAUUCUCGAAACCAUUAAAAUA